UACGUAAAAGACUAGUGUUAUUCAUCUUUAGUAGGUUUAAAGGGUACCUAGACGGUAUAAUUAGUCUUAAACAAGAAACGGUUAUGCUAGAGUUAUAUAUGAGAAGGGGAGUAUUUAUGGAGUAGAGUUGAAAUUCUUUGAUCCCAUAACGACUGGUAGCGGCGAAAGCAACCUUUUAUCUAAUAACUGACGUUGAGGGACGAAAGCUCGGGUCACGAACAGG
rnacentral:rRNA from 1 species